rnacentral:rRNA from 1 species
UACGUAGGUGGCAAGCGUUGUCCGGAUUUACUGGGCGUAAAGAGCGCGCAGGCGGUCGGAUUAGUCGCGUGUGAAAGCCCCCGGCUCAACUGGGGAGGGUCACGCGAUACUGUUCGACUCGAAGGCAGGAGAGGGAAGUGGAAUUCCCGGUGUAGUGGUGAAAUGCGUAGAUAUCGGGAGGAACACCAGUGGCGAAGGCGAGUCUCUGGGAUGAUGCUGACGCUGAGGCGCGAAAGCCAGGGGAGCAAACAGG